GGGAUAUCAUAGGCAGUGAAGGAUACAUCUGUGCUGCCAUCAAAAAUCGAUCAGAUGAAGAUCUCAGAAGAGGCAGCAUUUUAGGGUU